CAGCCAAGGAUGACUUGCCG
rnacentral:ncRNA from 2 species